rnacentral:rRNA from 1 species
ACCUGCAUUAUCAAUAAGCGGAGGAAAAGAAACCAACAGGGAUUGCCUUAGUAACGGCGAGUGAAGCGGCAAAAGCUCAAUUUGAAAUCGCUUCGGCGAAUUGUAAUUAAAGUGGUUAGACUAGGAUGUUAAGUCUCUUGGAACAGAGCGCCGUAGAGGGUGAUAGCCCCGUAAUCUUUGUCUAAUGUGCUACUUUAGAGCGAGUCGAGUUGUUUGGGAAUGCAGCUCUAAUAGGUGGUAAACUCCAUCUAAGGCUAAAUAUUGCUGGGAGACCGAUAGCGAACAAGUACAGUGAUGGAAAGAUGAAAAGCACUUUGAAAAGAGAGUGAAAUAGCGUGUGAAAUUGUUGGAGGGGAAGGCGAUGAUAGGAAUAGGAGGCUGCGGUUUGAAAUAAUUGUUUUUCGGGCCACGGUCUCUGGGGCCUAUUUUCGCACCCGUCUUGAAACCACGGACCA